GGGACACGUGGUAUCCUGUCUGAAUAUGGGGGGACCAUCCUCCAAGGCUAAAUACUCCUGACUGACCGAUAGUGAACCAGUACCGUGAGGGAAAGGCGAAAAGAACCCCGGCGAGGGGAGUGAAAAAGAACCUGAAACCGUGUACGUACAAGCAGUGGGAGCCUCUUAAUGGGGUGACUGCGUACCUUUUGUAUAAUGGGUCAGCGACUUAUAUUCUGUAGCAAGGUUAACCGAAUAGGGGAGCCGAAGGGAAACCGAGUCUUAACUGGGCGUUAAGUUGCAGGGUAUAGACCCGAAACCCGGUGAUCUAGCCAUGGGCAGGUUGAAGGUUGGGUAACACUAACUGGAGGACCGAACCGACUAAUGUUGAAAAAUUAGCGGAUGACUUGUGGCUGGGGGUGAAAGGCCAAUCAAACCGGGAGAUAGCUGGUUCUCCCCGAAAGCUAUUUAGGUAGCGCCUCGUGAAUUCAUCUCCGGGGGUAGAGCACUGUUUCGGCAAGGGGGUCAUCCCGACUUACCAACCCGAUGCAAACUGCGAAUACCGGAGAAUGUUAUCACGGGAGACACACGGCGGGUGCUAACGUCCGUCGUGAAGAGGGAAACAACCCAGACCGCCAGCUAAGGUCCCAAAGUCAUGGUUAAGUGGGAAACGAUGUGGGAAGGCCCAGACAGCCAGGAUGUUGGCUUAGAAGCAGCCAUCAUUUAAAGAAAGCGUAAUAGCUCACUGGUCGAGUCGGCCUGCGCGGAAGAUGUAACGGGGCUAAACCAUGCACCGAAGCUGCGGCAGCGACACUAUGUGUUGUUGGGUAGGGGAGCGUUCUGUAAGCCUGUGAAGGUGGCCUGUGAGGGUUGCUGGAGGUAUCAGAAGUGCGAAUGCUGACAUAAGUAACGAUAAAGCGGGUGAAAAGCCCGCUCGCCGGAAGACCAAGGGUUCCUGUCCAACGUUAAUCGGGGCAGGGUGAGUCGACCCCUAAGGCGAGGCCGAAAGGCGUAGUCGAUGGGAAACAGGUUAAUAUUCCUGUACUUGGUGUUACUGCGAAGGGGGGACGGAGAAGGCUAUGUUGGCCGGGCGACGGUUGUCCCGGUUUAAGCGUGUAGGCUGGUUUUCCAGGCAAAUCCGGAAAACCAAGGCUGAGGCGUGAUGACGAAGCACUACGGUGCUGAAGCGACAAAUGCCCUGCUUCCAGGAAAAGCCUCUAAGCAUCAGGUAACAUCAAAUCGUACCCCAAACCGACACAGGUGGUCAGGUAGAGAAUACCAAGGCGCUUGAGAGAACUCGGGUGAAGGAACUAGGCAAAAUGGUGCCGUAACUUCGGGAGAAGGCACGCUGAUAUGUAGGUGAAGCGACUUGCUCGUGGAGCUGAAAUCAGUCGAAGAUACCAGCUGGCUGCAACUGUUUAUUAAAAACACAGCACUGUGCAAACACGAAAGUGGACGUAUACGGUGUGACGCCUGCCCGGUGCCGGAAGGUUAAUUGAUGGGGUUAGCGGUAACGCGAAGCUCUUGAUCGAAGCCCCGGUAAACGGCGGCCGUAACUAUAACGGUCCUAAGGUAGCGAAAUUCCUUGUCGGGUAAGUUCCGACCUGCACGAAUGGCGUAAUGAUGGCCAGGCUGUCUCCACCCGAGACUCAGUGAAAUUGAACUCGCUGUGAAGAUGCAGUGUACCCGCGGCAAGACGGAAAGACCCCGUGAACCUUUACUAUAGCUUGACACUGAACAUUGAGCCUUGAUGUGUAGGAUAGGUGGGAGGCUUUGAAGUGUGGACGCCAGUCUGCAUGGAGCCGACCUUGAAAUACCACCCUUUAAUGUUUGAUGUUCUAACGUUGGCCCGUAAUCCGGGUUGCGGACAGUGUCUGGUGGGUAGUUUGACUGGGGCGGUCUCCUCCUAAAGAGUAACGGAGGAGCACGAAGGUUGGCUAAUCCUGGUCGGACAUCAGGAGGUUAGUGCAAUGGCAUAAGCCAGCUUGACUGCGAGCGUGACGGCGCGAGCAGGUGCGAAAGCAGGUCAUAGUGAUCCGGUGGUUCUGAAUGGAAGGGCCAUCGCUCAACGGAUAAAAGGUACUCCGGGGAUAACAGGCUGAUACCGCCCAAGAGUUCAUAUCGACGGCGGUGUUUGGCACCUCGAUGUCGGCUCAUCACAUCCUGGGGCUGAAGUAGGUCCCAAGGGUAUGGCUGUUCGCCAUUUAAAGUGGUACGCGAGCUGGGUUUAGAACGUCGUGAGACAGUUCGGUCCCUAUCUGCCGUGGGCGCUGGAGAACUGAGGGGGGCUGCUCCUAGUACGAGAGGACCGGAGUGGACGCAUCACUGGUGUUCGGGUUGUCAUGCCAAUGGCACUGCCCGGUAGCUAAAUGCGGAAGAGAUAAGUGCUGAAAGCAUCUAAGCACGAAACUUGCCCCGAGAUGAGUUCUCCCUGAGACUUAGAGUCUCCUGAAGGAACGUUGAAGACGACGACGUUGAUAGGCCGGGUGUGUAAGCGCAGCGAUGCGUUGAGCUAACCGGUACUAAUGAACCGUGAGGCUUAACCUU
rnacentral:rRNA from 1 species